GUGUUUGCUUCGGCAGCACAUGUAUUAAGAUUGGAACAAUAUAGAGAAGAUUAGCAGGGCUCCUGCUCAAGGAAGACAUGCAAAUUUGUGAAGCAUUCUGUAUUUUU
ensembl:snRNA U6 U6 spliceosomal RNA